rnacentral:rRNA from 1 species
UACGGGAGGCAGCAGUGGGGAAUAUUGGACAAUGGGCGGAAGCCUGAUCCAGCCAUGCCGCGUGUGUGAAGAAGGCCUUUUGGUUGUAAAGCACUUUAAGCGAGGAGGAGGCUCUCCUAGUUAAUACCUAGGAAGAGUGGACGUUACUCGCAGAAUAAGCACCGGCUAACUCUGUGCCAGCAGCCGCGGUAAUACAGAGGGUGCGAGCGUUAAUCGGAUUUACUGGGCGUAAAGCGUGCGUAGGCGGCUGAUUAAGUCGGAUGUGAAAUCCCCUGAGCUUAACUUAGGAAUUGCAUUCGAUACUGGUCAGCUAGAGUAUGGGAGAGGAUGGUAGAAUUCCAAGUGUAGCGGUGAAAUGCGUAGAGAUCUGGAGGAAUACCGAUGGGCGAAGGGCAGCCAUCUGGGCCUAAUACUGACGCUGAGGUACGAAAGCAUGGGGAAGCAAACAGGAUUAGAAUAACC